rnacentral:rRNA from 1 species
AACGAACGCUGGCGGCAUGCCUAACACAUGCAAGUCGAACGAGAUCUUCGGGUCUAGUGGCGCACGGGUGCGUAACGCGUGGGAAUCUGCCCUUUGGUUCGGAAUAACAGUUGGAAACGACUGCUAAUACCGGAUGAUGACGAAAGUCCAAAGAUUUAUCGCCAGAGGAUGAGCCCGCGCAGGAUUAGCUAGUUGGUGUGGUAAGGGCGCACCAAGGCGACGAUCCUUAGCUGGUCUGAGAGGAUGAUCAGCCACACUGGGACUGAGACACGGCCCAGACUCCUACGGGAGGCAGCAGUGGGGAAUAUUGGACAAUGGGCGAAAGCCUGAUCCAGCAAUGCCGCGUGAGUGAUGAAGGCCUUAGGGUUGUAAAGCUCUUUUACCCGGGAUGAUAAUGACAGUACCGGGAGAAUAAGCUCCGGCUAACUCCGUGCCAGCCGCCGCGGUAA